GUAUGUCCGCUAUCCAGAACCUCCACUCUUUCGAUCCCUUUGCUGAUGUAAGUAAGUAAGGGUGAUGGCCUGCUUCCUGCUGGCACUGAGGAUUAUAUCCAUAUAAGAAUUCAACAGAGAAACGGCAGGAAGACCCUGACAACUGUCCAAGGGAUCGCUGAUGAUCGCGAUAAAAAGAAACUAGUGAAGGCGUUUAAAAAGAAAUUUGCGGGCAAUGGUACUGUAAUUGAGUAUCCAGAAUAUGGAGAAGUAAUUCAGCUACAGGAUGACCAGCACAAGAACAUAUGCCAGGUCCUGAUAGAGAUUGGGCUGGCUAAGGACGAUCAGCUGAAGGUUCAUGGGGUUUAA
rnacentral:lncRNA from 1 species